GACGAACGCUGGCGGCAGGCCUAACACAUGCAAGUCGAACGGACGUAGCAAUACGUUAGUGGCGCACGGGAGAGUAACGCGUGGGAACCUACCUUUUGGUUCGGGAUAACAUCGGGAAACUGGUGCUAAUACCGGAUAAGCCCUUCGGGGGAAAGAUUUAUUGCCGAAAGAUGGGCCCGCGUUGGAUUAGCUAGUUGGUGAGGUAAUGGCUCACCAAGGCAACGAUCCAUAGCUGGUCUGAGAGGGUGAUCAGCCUCACUGGGACUGAGACACGGCCCAGACACCUACGGGAGGCAGCAGUGGGGAAUAUUGGACAAUGGGGGAAACCCUGAUCACGCCAUGCCGCGUGAAUGAUGAAGGCCUUCGGGUUGUAAAGUUCUUUUGGUGGGGACGAUGAUGCCGGUCCCCACAGAAUAAGCUCCGGCUAACUUCGUGCCAGCCGCCGCGGUAA
rnacentral:rRNA from 1 species